rnacentral:rRNA from 1 species
UACGGAGGGUGCGAGCGUUGUCCGGAAUCAUUGGGCGUAAAGGGCGCGUAGGUGGCCCGGUCAGUUCGUGGUGAAAGCGCGGGGCUCAACCCUGCGUCGGCCAUGAAUACUGCCGCGGCUGGAGCACUGUAGAGGCAGGCGGAAUUCCGGGUGUAGCGGUGGAAUGCGUAGAGAUCCGGAAGAACACCGGUGGCGAAGGCGGUCCU